AUAGGUUUUAGUCAGUACAAAAAACUGAUGUUUUUUGUAUUCUUUAGCUUACAGUUCAGCAACUGUGCACUAGUAGCUAUUUAUUCGAGAACGGCAUAAGGAAGGUAUCCAAUUUAUUUUCAGGUUUUGAUGUAUAGAUUAAUUGACCAUCCACCUUAGUUAUUUUCAUACUUGCAUCAUUUAGUGUGUACCUUAGUUUGCUGUAGUUGUGCCUACUAAUCAAGCUGAUGUAAUUGUUAACAUGUUGAUUCGGUAGUGUACGAAUUCAUCAUGGUUUGGGUAUAUCAUUAGCAUUGUGAUUCGAAACAUCAGGUAUUCAGAUCAGAUACAAAGACAUACAUAAAUAAUUAAAUUUCUUUUUCCUGGAUGUUUCUUUCAGAGUGCAUAUAAGAAUACCAUGAUUUUUUUCUGUAGCAAUCCAAGCCACCCUUUCCUAGCAGGUUUGGUGCUUUCCAAGCUGUCAACAAUUAUUGUGAUUGACCAUGGGAACGAAGCUUUUACCACUUGUGGAGAUUUCAGACCGAGUGAAGAAGCCGGUUCUGAUGUGCCGAAAAGGAGAGCAAGGGCAGCGCCUCCUUCCUAUCCUCACCCAGGGUGGGCGGCGAUCUGUCUAUGAAGUUUUAGAGGUAAAUCAGGAAUAGUUUUUUUUGUGAUUCAUAGGCCAUAGUUCAGCGUCCGUGCAGUAAAUGUUGUGAGCAAUGCAACAUUUCUCUUACCAUGUUUUGUGUAAAUAUUUCAUCGGAAAGGAUUGUGCUACUAUGUACCAUUACUCUUGGAUGCAACUUUUUGUCGCAAAUAUCUCGAUUUAAUCUGCAUCAUUACUCUAAAUGCUUCUUCAAGUCAUGUAUAGUAUCUUUGAAAUUUUGUGUGAUCUCCCAUCCCCAUUUCUUAGAGGCGCUGUAAUGAUCUGAAUGAAAGCCUUUUUAUUUGCAAGUGACAGACUACACCCUGAUACACAUAGUUAGAAUGCACUAACCUAUUAUGAUGAUACUGUAGCAUGGUCAUUUGGAUCAGUGAGAUGCACAUUUUCUCCUUCCUUCUCUAAUAUGUAAUUUUGAGUGUGUUACUUUGCCUCUUCCAUUGGUAAUACAAAGGUAUUAGAAUUUAAUUGAUUUGCAUUUUACAAGAUGGAAUUUCUUCUUUGAGUGCAGGGAUUCAAAGAUGAUUAGUACUUGGUUUUCAUGGUCAUUAAAGUCGAGUGCUGAGUGGAUACUAUGGUGAGCUUAAUCAAAUAACUAUUCCCCUUCACGAGGAAUAGAAAGAGCCAGCGAUUGCGUGACGCUUCGUGUGUGGCUGCUUAUUCCUUCCUAGGGAUUGCCUUCGCAAGAAAACUUUCUGUUCGCUUGCCUUUCUCUCCCAGAGGCAUCCCUCCUUCUAGAUCUCAUUAUAGCUUUCAUGUGAAAGUCGCUUGAUCAUGGGCAUAAGCAGAACACAUUUAGUUUCAUUGGUGCGUGCGGAUGAGCAGUGAACUUGGAAGGAUUUCUAUUCCCAUGUGAUCUGCUUGGUCUAUGUGUGAGCAUCAUUCCUAAAUAUAGCUCAUCAUGCCAUUCUUUUUGGUCCAUGACCACAUCAAUGUGGAUGUUCCUAUUAAAACAAAGGUACAUAAUUGAUAUUUUCCUUGAUUAUUAAUUCCUCGAUUUUGUUGCUCAGAUUUGUAUCCCACGAUUUCAUUUACUGUGAGAUGCUAUCGACACACACGGGCACACAUGCCUAAUCUAUUCUCAGGUUCAGUUUCUGGUCACUUCAGUGAGGUUUUUCAUCAACUAAUAUCUUUGAACUCAUAUUGUGCACCUUUAUAUAUGGCGGUUGGCUGUAUACCUUUAGUCUGCUUUGUCAAAGGCUGUUGGUAUUAAGCUUUAGUGCUUCAUUGUUCAUCAUAGUCUCAUUCCCUUGAUAAUUAAUAAUGAGGCAAUGAAAAAUAGGUGAAACUGUAAGAAACAUGAAGCGGAGGAACACGAUUCAGUUUGUCAUUGGAAAUUAGUUUCCAUGGCUAAAUUACUCAACUCUGCACCAUGUUUUUUCUCGCUCAUCUUGUUUAUUUUCUAUGGUAUAUUGUUCUUUAUCGGUUCCAUUAUUUCUUCAAGAACCCGCAGAUCAACUAUGUUUAGAUAUGAUUUACUUCCGAAAAUAAUGAAUUGCGUUUGUGCUUUCAGCUUAGGCGAAUCUAUACCUUGAUUACAAAUUCUACAUUCUCCUCUUUGGAUGUCAUUUCUUUUGCUAGAUGUAAUUGCAUGCCUUUGUUCCAUGACUCUUGAGUCUGCCGCUUCGUCUGCUCUGGGAUCACACCAAUCGCUAAUUUGAUGCACAUAUGAAUCCCUAGAUCUAAUGUGAUGUACUAAUUAGUAUCUGGCGAGGCCUUCAAGUUCUGAUGCAACUUAGAACAUCCCUCUUGAAGCAAAAGUCACACUGACAAUAUAAAAUUAUAACUUUGAUUUUACGAAUCAUUUACCCUCACUAGUGUGUUGAUGAACUGGCAAGAUGGCUAGCUAAUAGCAUAUAUUACUUUCCUUUUCUUGCAAGCUCAAAGUUGGUUGUCCUAAUGUAUUAUUGAUUAGAAACAAUAAUACAAAUUACCGAUACACCUGACUGGAAGUUCUGACCAACGUUACUCUUGCAUUAUCCGGACUCUGAAAUAUGCAAUAAAAUCCAGUUCAAUGUUUAUCAUUAAAACAUCAACUAUAAUAUUGCCUUAUUAGCUGUGUGGGUAUUAGUUAUGAUAAUAUUUCUUUUAAAAUGAAUCUUAGAAUGAUCAAAAUAUUACAUUCACAAUGGCCAACCAGUGAACUAUUAAACUUUGUUAUAUAAAAAUCCUACUGAAUAUCUUCACUCAUUUUUAAGUAUUACAGGGCUUCCACAUAUCCUGCUCGAGUGGUGAGUAGAUGACCAUGCACCAUGGUAGGGAGGCAUGGUGUUGAGCCACUGAUGGAGGCACUACACUGCCAGGAUGUGUCUGUCAUGACACCAAUGAGGCAUGGCGGCAUUUGUUCAACCGGAAGGUGCUGCAGUUAGGCAGUCUCUUACUCCUUUAUCUCUAUUUUGUGUCGCUGCUUCUACUUUUGUUGUCUAAUGCAUAUAUUUGGAGGAUUUAGGUCAAAUGUCCCUAUUAGUGAAUACUAUGUUCUUAUGUAUUCCCAAGAAACUUUUUUGUUUUGACAACAAUUGGUGAGUUCGAACUAAAAGGGGCCAUACAUGAGAGAAUCAUUUUGUAACUAUGUUAU